rnacentral:rRNA from 1 species
AUUGAACGCUGGCGGCAGGCUUAACACAUGCAAGUCGAGCGAGCGGCGGACGGGUGAGUAAUGUCUGGGGAACUUCCUGAUGGAGGGGGAUAACUACUGGAAACGGUAGCUAAUACCGCAUACCAUCCGAUGAGCCCAGAUGGGAUUAGCUUGUAGGUGAGGUAAUGGCUCACCUAGGCGACGAUCCCUAGCUGGUCUGAGAGGAUGAUAAGCCACACUGGGACUGAGACACGGCCCAGACUCCUACGGGAGGCAGCAGUGGGGAAUAUUGCACAAUGGGCGCAAGCCUGAUGCAGCCAUGCCGCGUGUAUGAAGAAGGCCUUCGGGUUGUAAAGUACUUUCAGUCGGGAGGCGUUACCGACAGAAGAAGCACCGGCUAACUCCGUGCCAGCAGCCGCGGUAAUAG